GAUGAACGCUGGCGGCGUGCCUAAUACAUGCAAGUCGAGCGAACGGACGAGAAGCUUGCUUCUCUGAUGUUAGCGGCGGACGGGUGAGUAACACGUGGAUAACCUACCUAUAAGACUGGGAUAACUUCGGGAAACCGGAGCUAAUACCGGAUGAUAUUUUGAACCGCAUGGUUCAAAAGUGAAAGACGGUCUUGCUGUCACUUAUAGAUGGAUCCGCGCUGCAUUAGCUAGUUGGUAAGGUAACGGCUUACCAAGGCAACGAUGCAUAGCCGACCUGAGAGGGUGAUCGGCCACACUGGAACUGAGACACGGUCCAGACUCCUACGGGAGGCAGCAGUAGGGAAUCUUCCGCAAAGGGCGAAAACCUGACGGAGCAACGCCGCGUGAGUGAUGAAGGUCUUCGGAUCGUAAAACUCUGUUAUUAGGGAAGAACAUAUGUGUAAGUAACUGUGCACAUCUUGACGGUACCUAAUCAGAAAGCCACGGCUAACUACGUG
rnacentral:rRNA from 1 species